rnacentral:lncRNA from 1 species
CAUUUUUAUUCAUUUAUUUCCCAACUAUGUCAGAGCAAGUUAUAGGUUAUCCACUAUUAACUUUGCAGUAUAAUAAUCGCUGUGUCUAUUUGCACCAAAAAUCCACGUAUCCACGCAAUUACGUGGAUCUAAUAUUUGACUUCACGACGUAUUUUUGCAUGAAAAAUUUAGAGACACGUAAUUUUCCGAAGUGAAGUAUAGAUAAAUUUUCCGGCGUGGAUAUAAGACACGUAAAUUUUCCGACGUGGAUUUAAGAAACAACAAUCGUCGACCUGAUGGUGCAGCUGUACAAUUCAAAUUGAUCAGAAGCACUCAUGAAUUUCCAACUGUAAAACCAAAACGCAACUCAUACGAAUGGUAUAUACCCAAGGGAAUACUGAAACGUAAUUGGAUGAAUAAGUAUUUGCACGAAAUACCAGCUGUGAUGGUUGUUUUUUAUGAUCUCGAUUGGCAUGCUACACAAUGGAAUGAAAAGAAAAUGGAAUGUGCUUAAAGAGUGCAAUUACUGAGAUCUGCCUUAGAAGGAAGGAAUACAAAAAUAGCUAUAGUAUUGAUACAAAAGAAAGCCCCUCCUACGGAAGCCCGGUAGUGACAUCGACAUAUACAUGCAUACGCUGUAUGCAUGCUUUCCUAAAUUCAUCACAUUGUGUGUGUAUAGACCUGACGGGGUCGGGUAAGGUUAGGCUUGGACUCCUUUUCCAAUAUGGCUAUACCAUUGUCUUUUUGUUGUAACAACAUUUUGGAGUAACUCUUAUUGUUGUAAAAAUAGUAUUAAAGUACGUUUUUAACUUCGCUAUAAUUAUGCCUCUUAAAAACACCGAGUUUUGUUAUACGUAAUCGAGUGACUUCUUAAUUAUUAUGUAAUCUGAUGAUUGAUAUCUUAAUACCUACUGCUAUAGUUUUUAUUUUUCCAUAAGUGGUUUUUUUUCAGAUGAUCAAUGAAAGAGGUAACUUUAAAUAAAUCAAAUAUUAUGUUUUACGCAACCUUAAUAUAUCAAUUACGUUUUUAUAUAAGAAGAAUAGAUUUUCACUGUUACUCUCCUGUAGUCCAUGGUUAGAGUGCUACUUUUUGGAUCAGCAGAUUUAAUUGUUUUAUAUGAUGGAGCAGAGAAAUAGACAGAUUGUAAAUUAUUUAUGUAUAAGAAGGAAAAAUAUUGAUGAAAGUUGCUUAGAAGAUCUGUGUAGUAUGAUAGUGGAAGAAUUAAAUUCUAGUGGUUGUUGUUUAGGUUACAAAACCUUAUGGCGGCGUUUGCAGCAAGUUUAUGGCUUGACCGUAAAGCGAAACACCGUAUUAAAAAUAUUGCACAUCUUGGAUCCUGAAGGUAUAGCUGAUCAAUUACGCCACAGAUUAAAACGACGUACUUAUAGUGUACCUGGCCCUAAUUUUGUAUGGCAUAUAGAUGGUUACGACAAGUUGAAGCCCUUCGGAUUUGCCAUCCAUGGUGGAAUUGAUGGUUAUUCUAGAAAAAUGUUAUGGCUAGAGGUAGCUAGUAGUAACAAUAAACCAGAAAUUAUUGCUUACUAUUAUUUGAAAACUCUAGAAAGAUUAAAUUUUAUCCCAACUCUCAUUCGAUCUGAUCAUGGGACUGAGAAUUGUGUGGUGGAAGCUCUGCAACAAAGUCUACGGUUCAAUCAUGAGGAUAGAUUAUCUGGACUUAAUAGUUUUAUUAAAAGGAAGAAGCACUUCAAACCGACGAAUCGAAGCUUACUGGUCACAAAUGAGACGUCGAGGUGUACACUUUUGGAUAAAUCUAUUCAAGGAUUUAAGAGACAUUAACUUAUUUAAUGAUUCUAAUCCAAUACAUGUUGUAAUGUUAAGAUAUUGUUUUGGUCCUCUUUUGAAGUAUGAUUUGGAAAUCAUUAAAAACGAAUGGAAUUCUCAUAGAAUACGUAAACAAAAAUCUCGUGAUUUAGUUCCAGGAAAACCAAAUUGCUUAUUUUAUACUCCAGAACAAUAUAGUGCUAAAGAUUAUAAAAAAAUAGUUGACCAGAGUAUGUAAUACAUAUAUGUUUGGAACGAUUCAGCACUAAACCAUUUCUCUUUAAUCAUUUAACUGAAGAGUUAAUACAAUUUUUGAAGCCUAAUCUGAUCUUACCAACAACUAUAGAAGAAGCGUUAAAUCUGUUUGUGGAGCUUACAGUUCUUGUUGAGGAAUACCAACAGAAUAAUUAACUGCCUGUACAGAAGUUCACAAGAUUCUGCAAAGUUAUGAUGAGAAUGGACUAUGGCUUCAGCAAACCAGACUAUUAACUCACUUCUACACGUCCAUCCUCGUCCGUCCCUCUUGUCUCUGUACAAACAAUGAACGAUCUUAUCUCUUUUUCGAGGGGUCUUUCUCUCUCGUACAGUGCGGCGAGAGCAUCUUGGGAAUACGAAUCGCGACCCUCAACAAUUUUUUGCAGACUGGAGUGUGGGGUGCUUCAUUUUCCGGUAAUAUUGACGCUCCAGAUGGCUGUUUCGACGCUAUAAUGCAAGCGACUGUAUGUCGCGAUCAGACUGAUUGGCAUGAAAAGGCGCUUAGCUUCUUCUAUUUUCAACGGAUGCAAGCUUCCAUUAUGCGGGUGACCGCAAGCUUUUGGCGGUAUUGUCAAGCGAAAUGAUGGUUUAUGUCACAUGGACGAGGGCGGAUUAUACACCCACUCAACUCUUCAAGAUUAGCUGAGCAUUUUGCAAAUAAACCUCAAAGUAAAAGAGAAUUCAGUGAACAUUCUUUGGGCCGUCACAGAAGAACAAAUAAGGAUUUAUUCAAAUUUAACAAAGCACAUUCGAGGCUCAUACGCAGCUAAGCUCAGUAAUGAUUCCAGUAAUAUUGUCGACUUGGUUUGUGAACAGUACAAUGCUAUUUCGAGUUCUCUAAAGAUGAAAGAUGCAGCAAGCAACUACAUUGAUUUGAAAUACUAUUCCAAUUACCUGAAUGGUCCAAUAAGUUUUCACUUAAGGCUGUCUGAGCGCCUCCGCGCCACGAGCCUAUGCCUUCGCCAACAGCGCUAAGUCCGAGAACAACAAUACAAAAUAAACGCAGAAGAUGUAGCAGUAAAGACAAUUCUGGGGAUGAGUGUGAGUACGUCAGUAGCGUCGUCCCUUGACGCUCUAGCCUCGAGGUUCAAUGGUCUGGCUGUAAAACUCGGGGACUUUGAAGAUUGCCACUCGCUUCUUCAACCGUUGUCGCGCCCGAUAACAAGGUUGCCGAGAAGUUCACCAAGUCGUCCUGUGCCUUCGAAGAAAAGCAAGAGACAGGCCUCCGUUUCUCCGAUCAGAAGACUAUCAAGUCCAUUGUUUAAUUUGAUAAUUGCGAUAGCGUAUACCUGCUGCGCGCUUCGAGAGUUGCGUGCGUGUAAGUGUGUGUAUCUUUUUCGCGGUCAAUUUAAUAAUAACAACAAGAUCGAACACACUAAUCAGCUUCGAGAGCCAUCAAUUUGCGUCGCUGCCUGUAUAAACUAUCUUCGACUCAUUUUCUCUCUCUAUCUCGCUUUCUUGCGCGCUAAAUUUUCACAUGGGGUUUAUACAUACGUGAAAACCCAUGUUCAGGUGGUAAUUGCAGCUGCUUCCUCAUCAUACGGAUAAGCUUUGUGAUGCUGUAAGAGAGAAGUUUCGAUGUAUAUAACACGUGGUUGAAACUUGCUUUUGGCGAGAAAGCGCUCGCUUGGAUUUUUAUAGCGGCGCGCAAAAUUUAGCUCAGUGUGUCAGUUCUAUAGCGAGCGCUGAAACAAACGGCGCGAUGCAGCGACGAUAGUGAUUGUAAUUGAAGCUUUUCCACGACGAAAUCACCUGUAGGCGCUUUUUUUUAUACGACAACAAAAAAAAACUAUCGAGUUGCACGCGAUGCACAAGCGGCGCUGAUUAAAGUUUCUCAUCAUCCUCGAAUACCCAAGAAAACCCUCCGCGUCGGCUCUUCCAAAAUCCAAGCACUGAUUGCACUUCACAUGUAUAGCUAGCUCCAAGUCUUCCCAAAAAUCAUCUGGCCGGCGAUUAAUACACAAAAUCCUGUAUGUACAGCUCCUGCAGGAAAAUUCCCAUGCUCGAAAAUUCAGCAGAUCCUCGUCGUCGUAUGUAGCUGCACGCAUCCGUAAAAGCAAGCAACGAGGUUUUAUCUCGCGGUGGCACCUCGUAAACUCUUGGGGGUAGUAGGUACUACGUAGUAGACGGAUAUACGCACACACACGCGCGCAGAGCAGAGCCGCAUUAUGAAAAACACGCAGCGGCUCAGGCCGAGCGUGAAAGCUGUAAAGCACGAUAACAAGAGGGCGAGCUUUAUGCAUUAUUAUUGUGUAAUAAAAAAACAAUUUUAAAAUAAAGGCGAAAAUGAUCGGAACUUACAUGAACCUUUCGUUGCAAUGAUUUAAUCUAGUUAUUCAUCCAAAGUCAGUGCGUUCUCGUAGAUCAUUCUGAUCAUACUUUUGCGGUGAUUUGCGGUCACCCUCAUGUACAUAAGGAAUGUAAUAAAUGCAAAAUAAAUAUAAUUAAUAGCAGAAUUCUUUUUUUAAUUGUUGAGAAUAAGCGAGCAGAAUUCGAGCGACUGCAGAGAGCACGACGGGACUGUUCUUCUCUCUCUCCCCGUCGAACUACGGCCAGCGUACUUCUCUGUGUGCUCUCAUGCGAGAAAGACGCGUUCGCGAUACGAUUGCAUCUACAUAGUUCCUUUGUUUGUUAGUUCGAUUUAUAGUUCAUUACUUGUGUUAAGUAAGCUCAAGGGUAAGCUCCAAU